rnacentral:rRNA from 1 species
UACGGAGGAUGCAAGCGUUAUCCGGAAUGAUUGGGCGUAAAGGGUCCGCAGGUGGCAAUGUAAGUCUGCUGUCAAAGAAUGAGGCUCAACCUCAUCAAGGCAGUGGAAACUACGUAGCUAGAGUACGGUCGGGGUAGAAGGAAUUCCUGGUGUAGCGGUGAAAUGCGCAGAUAUCAGGAAGAACACCGGUGGCGAAAGCGCUCUGCUAGGCCGCAACUGACACUGAGGGACGAAAGCUAGGGGAGCGAAUGGG